rnacentral:rRNA from 1 species
GACGUAGGGCGCAAGCGUUGUCCGGAUUUAUUGGGCGUAAAGAGCUCGUAGGCGGUGUGUCACGUCGGCCGUGAAAACCUGCAGCUUAACUGUGGGCGUGCGGUCGAUACGGGCAUCACUGGAGUUCGGCAGGGGAGACUGGAAUUCCUGGUGUAGCGGUGAAAUGCGCAGAUAUCAGGAGGAACACCGGUGGCGAAGGCGGGUCUCUGGGCCGAUACUGACGCUGAGGAGCGAAAGCGUGGGGAGCGAACAGG